GGGCGCGCGGGGUCCGCCGCCCGGGGGCGCCCCCAGCGCGCGGACGGCGGGAUCCUGCGGCCUCCUCCAGGUCUGGACGCAGGGAGGGGUGAGACUGUUCUGGCCAAAGAGACUGGAGAUCCAGUAUCAGCAAGCUACCUUCUUGCAUUUAGCACUGAAUACUAUGGGAUUACGGCUAAAAGAUGGUCAAGACUGCCUCAGCCAUUAGGAUCAGAAUUCUAAGUUCCAAAGAAGAGCAAACUCAAGAGGAUUUCCUCAGGCCUCUGCCUAUAGAUGCUGCCCGGGGAGAACAGGUGCUACACUCAAAACAUUCUCAUUUUAUUUAUAUCCUCCCUGAACUAGUACCCAACUCCAUAACCCCAGACUCAAAUAACAGAAAUAAAAGCCAUCUCACUGAUUAUAAGCUCUCUAGUUAUUACAAAAAUAAAUAAGCAUCAAUCAACCAACAGGCAUCAGAAUGAGAAAAUCACUGAUUUGAGAACAUUCAGGCUGCAGGAAAAGAACACUUUUUGUUAAUAUGUAACUAUAUCUUCAGUAGUACAGAAAAAUGAGAAGAACGAGAGUUCUUACCUGGAUUUGCGGCUCACUUAAAGUAGAGCACCUGAGAGAUGCUGGGAAAUCAUAAAGAUAAAUAACCAAUCUAACAAAUUCCUGCCAUGAGACCAAAGUGAUCCUUGACUACUCUAUUAGUAAGCGACUCUGAGCCAAGAGUACGAACCUGUAAGUGGAGUGGUGGUUGGCCCAUUAGAAAUCUCUGAAAGAUCUAAACAUGAGUUACCUUCCUAAUGGACUCAUACUUCUCAAUUCCCUCUCCUAAAAAAAUACUUUUGGGCUGGCCCCAGUGGCUCACACCUGUAAUCUCGGCACUUUGGGAAGCCAAGGUGGGAGGAUUGCUUGAGGACAAGAGUUUGAGACCAGCUCGGUGGAAACAUAGCACCAUCCCUGUCUCUACCAAAAACAGAAAAAAAAAGUGAAAAACAUUGCUGGCGUGGUGGCACUUGAGCCUGUAGUUUCAGCUGCUCAGGAAGCUUUGAGGCAGGAGGAUUACUUGAGCCCAGGAGUUCGAGACUGCAGUGAGCUAUGAUUGUACUCCUGCACUCCAGCCUGGGUGACAGAGCAAGACCCUGUCUUAAAAAAAAAAAAAAAAGUUUCUACUGGAUCUUCCUUCCUUUUGAGAGAUAGCAAGAUUACAUCAGUUUUCCAGUUGUACUCCUUGAGAGCUGCCCCUGAGUACUGAGUGCAAAAGAUGAGGAAUGAGUCUUUUACAAAUUGAUGUACUUAGGGUCAGAAGGAUUAUCCUAGUCAUUUUUAGUCAUUUUUCAAAGAAUUACAAAAUGAGAUGUUCAGUGACCUUUGGUACUCUGACAGUAAAUAAUGACAUUGGUCAGUGAGGUAUAGAGAAUGAAAGGAUGUGAAGAUACCCUGC